CUCAAGCUGAGCCGCGCGAAUUCUGGUUUCCAUUCAUCUCGAGCUACGGCGAGUCGGGCUCCUACUGGGGAGCUGCGACAGUUUGGUGGUACUCGAGGCCGCCCUUCAAGGCGGGCCCCGAAGGCCCGGCCUGGUGAAGAGUUGGUUUUGUCAGCAGUUUGGUUUCUCCAUGUUUGACAGCUUCCCUUUGCUCACCCAAGCACCUGCUAGAACUAUGUGAGAGUCUGGACAUUUUCUGGCCUUCUUGUAAAAGAAGAUAAAGGGUUGUGUUUCUGAGUGUCAUCCUGAUCUUUCCAAAGUGUUGCAGUGUGGUCCAGAGAACAGAGCCAGCCUUUUUGCUGUGGAUCCCAUCACCAUCCAUUGCUGAAGAAGAAGCAGGGCUCAGGACAAGCAUGUCAAACACACCUGACACUACAAAUCUACACUUUGCAACUGGCUCUUAUCACAUGCAGUCUUCUCACCCUUCUCCACUGAAAAAGAAAAGAAAAAUGUAUGAUAGCCAAGUGAAAAAGGACAGGAAAUCUUCUAGUCAAGCUUCAUAGUAUUUGCUAUGUUUAGCUUACAGAACCGAAAAAUACGUAUUUAGUGUAAAGACAUUAAGAAAUGCACAGAAAGAUGAAAAUAAAACGCAACCCCAUCCCAAGAGACCCCCUGCUUUUAGCAUUUUAUGGCAUACUUCUCUAAACUUUAAUAAAAUGUUUCAGUGAUUUAAAAG
rnacentral:lncRNA from 1 species